rnacentral:rRNA from 1 species
GGGAAACCCAGUGUGAUUCGUCACACUAUCAUUAACUGAAUCCAUAGGUUAAUGAGGCGAACCGGGGGAACUGAAACAUCUAAGUACCCCGAGGAAAAGAAAUCAACCGAGAUUCCCCCAGUAGCGGCGAGCGAACGGGGAGGAGCCCAGAGCCUGAAUCAGCAUGUGUGUUAGUGGAAGCGUCUGGAAAGGCGCGCGAUACAGGGUGACAGCCCCGUACACAAAAGCGCAUGUGCUGUGAGCUCGAUGAGUAGGGCGGGACACGUGGUAUCCUGUCUGAAUAUGGGGGGACCAUCCUCCAAGGCUAAAUACUCCUGACUGACCGAUAGUGAACCAGUACCGUGAGGGAAAGGCGAAAAGAACCCCGGCGAGGGGAGUGAAAAAGAACCUGAAACCGUGUACGUACAAGCAGUGGGAGCACCCUUUGGGUGUGACUGCGUACCUUUUGUAUAAUGGGUCAGCGACUUAUAUUCUGUAGCAAGGUUAACCGAAUAGGGGAGCCGGAGGGAAACCGAGUCUUAACCGGGCGUUAAGUUGCAGGGUAUAGACCCGAAACCCGGUGAUCUAGCCAUGGGCAGGUUGAAGGUUGGGUAACACUAACUGGAGGACCGAACCGACUAAUGUUGAAAAAUUAGCGGAUGACCUGUGGCUGGGGGUGAAAGGCCAAUCAAACCGGGAGAUAGCUGGUUCUCCCCGAAAGCUAUUUAGGUAGCGCCUCGUGAAUUCAUCUCCGGGGGUAGAGCACUGUUUCGGCUAGGGGGCCAUCCCGGCUUACCAACCCGAUGCAAACUGCGAAUACCGGAGAAUGUUAUCACGGGAGACACACGGCGGGUGCUAACGUCCGUCGUGAAGAGGGAAACAACCCAGACCGCCAGCUAAGGUCCCAAAGUCAUGGUUAAGUGGGAAACGAUGUGGGAAGGCCCAGACAGCCAGGAUGUUGGCUUAGAAGCAGCCAUCAUUUAAAGAAAGCGUAAUAGCUCACUGGUCGAGUCGGCCUGCGCGGAAGAUGUAACGGGGCUAAACCAUGCACCGAAGCUGCGGCAGCGACACUGUGUGUUGUUGGGUAGGGGAGCGUUCUGUAAGCCUGUGAAGGUGUGUCGUGAGGCAUGCUGGAGGUAUCAGAAGUGCGAAUGCUGACAUAAGUAACGAUAAAGCGGGUGAAAAGCCCGCUCGCCGGAAGACCAAGGGUUCCUGUCCAACGUUAAUCGGGGCAGGGUGAGUCGACCCCUAAGGCGAGGCCGAAAGGCGUAGUCGAUGGGAAACGGGUUAAUAUUCCCGUACUUGGUGUUACUGCGAAGGGGGGACGGAGAAGGCUAUGUUGGCCGGGCGACGGUUGUCCCGGUUUAAGCGUGUAGGUGUGUGUUCCAGGUAAAUCCGGUUCACUUUAACACUGAGGCGUGACGACGAGGCACUACGGUGCUGAAGCAACAAAUGCCCUGCUUCCAGGAAAAGCCUCUAAGCAUCAGGUAACAUCAAAUCGUACCCCAAACCGACACAGGUGGUCAGGUAGAGAAUACCAAGGCGCUUGAGAGAACUCGGGUGAAGGAACUAGGCAAAAUGGUGCCGUAACUUCGGGAGAAGGCACGCUGACACGUAGGUGAAGUGAUUUACUCAUGGAGCUGAAGUCAGUCGAAGAUACCAGCUGGCUGCAACUGUUUAUUAAAAACACAGCACUGUGCAAACACGAAAGUGGACGUAUACGGUGUGACGCCUGCCCGGUGCCGG